AUUGAACGCUGGCGGCAGGCCUAACACAUGCAAGUCGAGCGAGCGGCGGACGGGUGAGUAAUGUCUGGGAAACUGCCUGAUGGAGGGGGAUAACUACUGGAAACGGUAGCUAAUACCGCAUACGAUCAGAUGUCACCAGAUGGGAUUAGCUAGUAGGUGGGGUAACGCCUCACCUAGGCGACGAUCCCUAGCUGGUCUGAGAGGAGGACCAGCCACAAUGGACCUGAGACACGGUCCAGACUCCGCGGGGAGGCAGCAGUGGGGAAUAUUGCAAAAUGGGCGCAAGCCUGAUGCAGCCAUGCCGCGUGUGUGAAGAAGGCCUUCGGGUUGUAAAGCACUUUCAGCGGGGAGGCGUUACCCGCAGAAGAAGCACCGGCUAACUCCGUGCCAGCAGCCGCGGUAAUAC
rnacentral:rRNA from 1 species